rnacentral:lncRNA from 1 species
AACUGUGAGAAGUGGAUGUAGGAGCACGUGUGUUUCCUUUGGCCUCAGGCACUGCUGGGCCCACACACUGAUCAGGCGUCACCCCUUGGCUGUCCUGAGUCUCAGGCUGGGCUCUCACCUCACAGGCUGAGCGAUCUCACUGCUUCCAGACCUCUCUGAGUCCCAGGACAGAGCGCCGCUGAUGGACAGAGCGCAGCUGUGGGGUCAGCUGACAGAAUGUACUGGAAUGCAGCUUGGUGGUAGUGGGGGGCUCAGUGCAGGACAGUGGCCCUUCCGUCUCCUUCAAUCACCUGCACUGUGGCAGGCGAGGGGGUGCCGGCAAUGACAAGGUUGCUGGAUCUUGGGACUGAGCUAGCCAGAAGAUCCCUAGUUUUCAGUCUGGCCUCCUUGACUCCUGAAGGAUUAAACCAAAAGUGCACCUGGUGUCAGCGAAAGGCUGCAGAAAGAGGCACUGGGUCUGUCUGCACUGAGUUAGCUGAAGUUUUUGGAAUUUUUACUUCUUUACCCAUCUGUGGAUUUGCAUAUUGUCAAAAAGCCCAAAUGAAGAUUUGUUCUCUAGGAGACUCAGCCUCCAGCCCUCUUCAGAAGUCCUCGAUUAUAUUUCCAGAUCCUUCUUGUGUAGAAACACGUACCUAAUGUGCACCUGUUCAGAUUCCAGCUGUGUGGAAACAGUGGGAUGUCUGAACUAGCAGGAGGAAAGAAAAGACUUAAAAAGACAAAGUAGAUUACAGGAAAGCAAUGAUUUCUCUGGCUGUUUGUCACUUCGAGUGCAAUACAUUAACAAAGUGCUGUAAUAAGGAGAGCUACUAAAAAAUGAUUUAUUGAUACUUUAGACCUGUUAAAACAGGUUAAUGUCAAUACAAUUAGCUCCUGGAUCAAGACAAUCCCCAAGUUGAUAAAAGAGCAUUAAAUGCCACUCCAUCAAAAUGGGGGAGGGGCUGAGGACUUUGCCCGCAGGGAAGAGAGGAGAGAAAUGUUCUCUGACAGUGUCCACUCUCCCACCCCUGGGGUCCCCUUGGGCCCUCGCCCCCCAGGACUCCAUGGACUGGAGUCUGAGACUCGGGCUGUUCUAAGAAAUGGGCAGUUUUUGUCUGGAAGGCUCGCUGGCUCUGCUAUUUCAUGGAUGAGCGACUCCUGAGUAAUUUGGGAGAGUAUCGAGCAAUUGUUAUGCUGGGAAAAUGGGCAGAGAAGAGCAGGUGAGUCACCAGGAGACUGCCAGAAAAUGAGAGUAUUCUCAGAAAUGAGCAGAGCUCCGGAGCCUGGUAAUGGAUGGAUGGGUCAGGGCCUGGUCCCUGGGCGCGUCCCCUCACCUUGCUGAGCCUGCUCCCUUCUUGGCCAGUCUAUGCAGCUGUGAGCCCUAAGUGUGGCCCCUGCCUGGCACUGCAUGGACCCUGGACCUGCAGACCCCCUCAGUGCUAUCUUCUGCUCGGAGGGAUCUGUCCUUUGGGGAGUGAAUCGAGGCUGCAUUGGUCUUCAGUGCUCCCCUGGGUGGUCAUCAGGGCAUCACUGCCACAGUGUGAGUUGGGACGAUCUUAAUGUCAUCAUCCCAGUCCUCAAAGAGUUGUUUGAAAAUGGUUGCCUUUUAAGGCAACAGUGCACAGGAUGAGAAUUCAGAUGACACAGCCCUGAGUGUGAGGCACCUCAGUCUCCCUCACCCACCCCUCCCCACCUCUUCUGCACAGGCAGCCGCUGCUUCUGGGCCUGGUUUUCCUUCCAGAGUCAGCCUGCAUGUUGACAUGCACAUGGCUCUGCUCUGGGCAUGUUUGCCGGACACGCCAGGCAGCUUCUGCGGGUUAUGUUGCAGAGCCAACGACACCCAAGUCUCGGGGGCUUUUUCUGAAUCAAGGGUUGAUUUCUUGCUGGCUGUGCAUCUGCUCUGCAUUCUUCUUCAUUCCCGACCAGGCUGAGGCCCAGCCCUGAUGAGGCAUGGCAGAGGGAACACAGAAACAGUGAAACACACAGUGGCUCUUGGAGUGACGCGAGCCACUUUUGCUCGUGUUCAUUGGCCAAAGGGUUGGAGCUGAGGGUUCCUGGAUUCUGAGCUGGCGGCUAGUGGAGAGGAAGGGUGUGUGGACAGAGGGCAAAGCGUUCUCUUUCCCAAUUCCAAGUUCUCAGGAGAGAGGGUUGGAUGGGGCCAGCUGGGGCCCCUGCCCAACACACGUCCCGUUAGCCUUGCCAGGUGAAGGCAGGCUCUCCAUGAUCCGGGUGGACAUCAUGGCUGUGCUGAUUCGGCAGCUGCAUCCAGUGUUUGGAUAAGGUGCAGUUUGGGGACAAGGUAAGUGCCCCAAGAGCGGAGGCCUAGUUCAUCACUGAGGCCAUGACCCCAGAACUGUGCCUGGCAGGGGGCAGCAGGUGUUUCUGAAUGAAUGAAUGGGUGAGGAGAAGCCAUCUCAGCGCUGGGAGGGAGGCAGGCUCAGUGAAGAUCCGGCCCCCACUCUGGUGAAGGGCAGCAAUCCCUAUCCCUGUGGGGUCGGGGGUUCCAGGGGUGGCUAGGAGCUGUGGCCCUGCCCCUUGUCCUACCUAAACCCCCCAGGACACCAGCUCUGACACCCACCUCUGUCUGACUCACCCUGGAUCAGGUGGAAGGCUCUGGCCUGUCCCGAGCCCCUCCUGCUGCUGUAACAAGGAAGCGGAGAUGAACACAAAGACAAAAGCGGCCCCUGCCCCCUGGGCACAGUGGACUCGUGGAAAAGACCCCUUGUUUCCUUCUUUGUCAGAAGCCCAGGAAAGAGCAGCUCUUUCAGUUUCCAGGACUGAUUGCUCAGAGUGUUCUAAGGGAUGUCUCUUCCUGAAGAGAAAUUCUCCUCCUGAAAAUUACCCAUCACAGUACUUUGCGGUCUUUUCUCAUUUCUCAUCUCAGACCCUUAAUAGCCUUGCCAGCGCCAAAGGCCUCCGUGUGACUGUCAGCGGCUAUUACCCUUGUCACCUCGAACGCUGCCGGUCCCCAGCUCUGCAAAGGCCCAGCAAAGCUCUCGCCCCCGUCUCCAGCCCUCUCCAAAUGCUCCUGAGCAGCGGCAUUGAGGAUCUCAUUUCAGCGAGUGAUGCCUGGCCUGUGCGGGGGGGACCCUGGGCCGGGGCAGGGAGCCUGGAGAAGGGAGAUGUGACCCAGGUACCCCAGCCAGGCCUGGAAAGAGAAAAUCUAAGUCCAAAGGAGGUCUCACCUCUGUCCCCAGCAGCAUCUUGGGGUGGGUCGGUCUGCCUCUGAGACCCCGAGUGCAGACCCUGGGGCAGACAGCACUUAGCUGGAGGCGUGACCCAGGGGUCCUGGGGGCACUUGGGGAGACAGGGAGGUGCCUUCCCAACACUUGGGGAGGGAAUUCAACUUGUCUCUGUCCAGAUCGGCCCCGCUCUGGAGAGGCAGCCUGUGGUCCAGAACAGGGAGAGCCAUGCCUCAAGAAGCAGGUGCAUCUGCUGGAAGGGAGGCUGGUCAGCAGGGUGCUAGGGUCAGGCUGUGUCCAGCCAUCCCUGUCCCCACAGUGUCUGGGGUCCUGGGCAGGGAGCUGAGCAUGGUGAGGCUGUGGACUGGAUGGUUCCUGAGGCUGAGGGACCGUUCAGGGGUCCUCAGUGAUGCCUUGCUGUUCUAGCCCAGAAAUGUUCUCCCUUGCUCUGCCUGAACUUGAUGUGCAGAGCUGCGGCCCCUCUGCUUCCACUGAGGAGUCCUCGCGGGAAUGAGGG